CCUAACCCUAACCCAGCCCAGGGUGCUAACGGCCUCCUCAGCCCCCCAUCCCCAACUCCUUGGGUGUUGUGUCCUUUUCUUAGUUAAAACCCAAUGUCCCCGGGUCUUCAGUGGAAUCCCCAGACCCUGUGGACUGAGCAGCGUUGACCAGAGCAAAGGAGACUUCAAGCGCAGAGGAAAACAUUCCAGAACGUCUGUGGAGACCGCUGUCCAGCUGUUCUGAUACGCCCACUUCCGAAGCAGGUGCACUUUCUCUCUGGCCCGAAUUCUUGCAGCCCUUUGAACAGAUGACUCCUACAGAUAAGAAAAUGGCAUCUUCUCAAUAGAAUUGCCAGGGGUUUGCUGGUGGUACAUAAAAAUGCAACAGACUGGGCGCCU